AGUUUCCACCCACUAUAAGCGAAGUGAGUUUAGCUUUCUCUUAAUACACACAAGGAUCGGAACGUCAGGAGUGAAACAAGCAAAGAACUGACGGGGGUUUCCUCAGCUUUCACACAAUGGAAACCUGUGAGUUCCCAAACAUGCUAGGAAGGCACAAGGGCAGUGCAGAAAAGACGAAACUGGAAACGAACAUGUAGGAACAGAGGUGCCAUGGAAGCUCGUCAGGGAACAGGAGAUUCCGUGCUGAUUCUGAGGAGGUGAACACAUGGAGAGCCAGGAGCAACCUCGCCAUUUCUGCAGAGCUCGGUUCAAACUGGACCAAAUGGUGAAUCAGCAGCAAAAACGCAGAAGGGAAGAAAGCCACAGUCAGUGUAAGCAUGAACCUGAUGGAGUAUGACUCUACCACAAAGAAGGAGAAAGCUGAGACACUUUUAGGUGCUAAUGUAAAAAGAAGAGUCACCAGGACAGGGUGAUCGCCCUGUCUGCUGGAGUUUGCUUAUCAGUUUACCGGACACCAUGUCGCUGGAUGAAGACACAAGGGGCACCAACAAAACAUACAAAGUCUCAGCACUGAAUUCGUGUCCGAGGAAACCGGAGAUGUUACUGAUCUGUCUUUGCUUUUUGUGCGGCUGGCGUUGCAACAAUUUUACAUGAGCACUGGGGAGGAAGCAGCUGUGAGCUUCCCCGUGAUCUGCAGGGAUGAACACGGCACUGCCCACUGGGUCUCCACCACCACCAGGAGCGGGGAAGGCGCAAACUCCGCACAGCUUCAGACACAGGCCUGCCUCCCACAGGCCCUUCUCUGGACCCGUGCAGACCGGACACCUUCUGUCCACCUGAAGACAAGGCUGGCUGCGAAUCCCCGCUCCGUGCACGUUGUCAGAUUCCACAUCGUUGCUUCCUGGGGUAUUUCAACCCGGGUUGAAAACACACAUCCCACUUCCAGGCAUCUGCUUCACGUUUCCUGGACGGCCCGGUAAUGUGUUUGUUUAACUCACUGCGGGUUAGGCUAUAGAUUUUGCAGUGGCCUACCAACACAGGCCCCCGGCUGUUUGUUUUUUUAAGUUUUUGUCUUAUCUCAUUUCCUCUGAAAAGCCCCACUUUUCACAGCGUAGCUGAAGCCUGAAUAAGCUGUUCUCUGAGUCCCGUCUACACGUCUCACCAAAGUAUGAGGCUAAAGUAUUUGCAGUUGAAAAUCAUAAACCAGCCUGCACUGCAGCAUUUCGUCAAGUGGCCGAAGAGCGAGCAGGCGUGUGGGAAGAGCACAGCAAACCGCACGGAGCCGGCCGUCCGUCUUCUUGCCCUCUCGUCGGUGCGCGAAGCGAAGCGGGGUGAAGGGCAGUGAAUCGCAGUACGCAGGUAGCACCCGGGAACUAGUUAAAAUGCACAUUCUCAGACCACAUCCUCAGGAUUCAAACUCAGGACAGCGGGGCCAGGCCUGGGACUCGGACUUUCUACCAAACCAUGCACCCCGCCUCCCCCAUUUUGAUGAAAUGGUUUGUGGACUGGGGUGUGAAUAAGCUCCAGUGGAGUGGUGACAUUCUGGCAUUCGGAAGGCUCAGGUCUGGCUUCAAGUCCUGGCUUAGCUGGUGCCUGGCUGGGAGACCUUCCAAACCCGUUUCCUUCAAAUGUGGACAAACUAAAAGUUUUGUGAGACUUUAGUGGAAUGUUCAAUAAAGAGCAGCUCUUAUUUUUAAA